AGAGUUUGAUCCUGGCUCAGAUUGAACGCUGGCGGCAUGCUUUACACAUGCAAGUCGAACGGCAGCGCGGGGGCAACCCUGGCGGCGAGUGGCGAACGGGUGAGUAAUGUAUCGGAACGUAUCCUGUAAUGGGGGAUAACCAGUCGAAAGAUUGGGUAAUACCGCAUACGCACGAGAGUGGAAAGUAGGGGAUCGCAAGACCUUACGUUAUAGGAGCGGCCGAUAUCUGAUUAGCUAGUUGGUGGGGUAAAGGCCUACCAAGGCGACGAUCAGUAGCUGGUCUGAGAGGACGACCAGCCACACUGGGACUGAGACACGGCCCAGACUCCUACGGGAGGCAGCAGUGGGGAAUUUUGGACAAUGGGCGAAAGCCUGAUCCAGCCAUGCCGCGUGCAGGAAGAAGGCCUUCGGGUUGUAAACUGCUUUAGUCUAGGAAAAAGGGGUGCGAGGUUAAUACCCUCGUGCUUUGAUGGUACUGGAAGAAUAAGCACCGGCUAACUACGUGCCAGCAGCCGCGGUAAUACGUAGGGUGCGAGCGUUAAUCGGAAUUACUGGGCGUAAAGCGUGCGCAGGCGGUCUUGUAAGACAGUCGUGAAAUCCCUGGGCUUAACCUAGGAACUGCGA
rnacentral:rRNA from 1 species